rnacentral:rRNA from 1 species
GGUUAAGCGACCAAGCGUACACGGUGGAUGCCCUGGCAGUCAGAGGCGAUGAAGGACGUGCUAAUCUGCGAAAAGCGCCGGUAAGGUGAUAUGAACCGUUAUAACCGGCGAUGUCCGAAUGGGGAAACCCAGUGUGACUCGUCACACUAUCAUUAACUGAAUCCAUAGGUUAAUGAGGCGAACCGGGGGAACUGAAACAUCUAAGUACCCCGAGGAAAAGAAAUCAACCGAGAUUCCCCCAGUAGCGGCGAGCGAACGGGGAGGAGCCCAGAGCCUGAAUCAGCAUGUGUGUUAGUGGAAGCGUCUGGAAAGGCGCGCGAUACAGGGUGAG